rnacentral:rRNA from 1 species
CAGCCGCCACGGUAACACGAAGGGGGCAAGCGUUGUUCGGAAUUACUGGGCGUAAAGGGCGCGUAGGCGGUGUAUUAAGUUAGGCGUGAAAGCCCUGGGCUCAACCCGGGAAUUGCGCUUGAUACUGGUACGCUAGAAUCCAGGAGAGGUUGGUGGAAUUCCCAGUGUAGAGGUGAAAUUCGUAGAGAUUGGGAAGAACACCGGUGGCGAAGGCGGCCAACUGGACUGGUAUUGACGCUGAGGCGCGAAAGCGUGGGGAGCAAACAGGAUUAGAUACCCGCGUAGUCCCUGUCUCUUAUAC